AUUGAACGCUGGCGGCAUGCCUUACACAUGCAAGUCGAACGGCAGCAUGAUCUAGCUUGCUCGAUUGAUGGCGAGUGGCGAACGGGUGAGUAAUACAUCGGAACGUGCCCUGUAGUUGGGGAUAACUAGUCGAAAGAUUAGCUAAUACCGCAUACUACCUGAGGGUGAAAGUGGGGGACCGCAAUGCCUCAUGCUAUAGGAGCGGCCGAUGUCUGAUUAGCUAGUUGGUGAGGUAAAGGCUCACCAAGGCGACGAUCAGUAGCUGGUCUGAGAGGACGAUCAGCCACACUGGGACUGAGACACGGCCCAGACUCCUACGGGAGGCAGCAGUGGGGAAUUUUGGACAAUGGGCGAAAGCCUGAUCCAGCAAUGCCGCGUGUGUGAAGAAGGCCUUCGGGUUGUAAAGCACUUUUGUCCGGAAAGAAAUGGCUCUGGUUAAUACCUGGGGUCGAUGACGGUACCGGAAGAAUAAGAACCGGCUAACUACGUG
rnacentral:rRNA from 1 species